rnacentral:rRNA from 1 species
UACGAAGGGGGCUAGCGUUGCUCGGAAUCACUGGGCGUAAAGCGCACGUAGGCGGAUUGUUAAGUCAGGGGUGAAAUCCUGGAGCUCAACUCCAGAACUGCCUUUGAUACUGGCGAUCUCGAGUCCGGGAGAGGUGAGUGGAACUGCGAGUGUAGAGGUGAAAUUCGUAGAUAUUCGCAAGAACACCAGUGGCGAAGGCGGCUCACUGGCCCGGUACUGACGCUCAUGCACGAAAGCGUGGGGAGCAAACAGG